AUGGAACCCAAGUCCUCCUGGAUACUAGUCAGGUUUAUUACCACCUAACCACAACGGGAACUCCGGUAAUUCAUUUUAACUAGGAAAUUAGAUUGAGUGCAAUGUCAUGUUCUCCACGAGUUUGGCCAGGCACCAGGCUCUCGACAAGCUUUAUAAGGAACUCAGACUUUGGAGAAUUGCAAGUGAACAUGCAGAGUCAGAAGGCCUUGAAAGAGUAUCUGGUCAACCCUGUCUCUCAUGCACAGAGGAGUGAUUCACAUACAGAGACAAGAGGAAGUUUGCUCAUGGUCACAUGGCUUACUGGGCCCACAUAUUAGGUUUGAGAAUGUCUACCAAACUAUAUCCAAGAGGAUGCAAAUGUGGACCUCAACAUAGCCUUCUUAAUUAUAUCAGUAGAUAGCAGAAGCAGAGGGUGGAGAGUCUCACAUCACAGAGACAGUGAUUUUGAUUCUAGAAUGCAUUCUGCAUAACCUAAGCAUAUGAGUUUAGCUGAAGUCCUGGAAAUUCCCUUCAAACGAAAUGAGGAAAUGCAUGAUAAUGAUCUGACUCAUGAAUUGCCCAAAAGCCAUCCCAUAGCUCCACCCAGGCUCUUGCUCAACUCCUCUGCAAACCUGGCAUCUUCUGAAAAGGCAGAUUUCUUAGUGUCAGAGUGGUAGAAGACCUUUUUUCUGCCCAUCUUUUUCUGGGAGACACAGAACUCCCACUCAGGAAAGUAAACAGGAAAGAGUGUCCUGUUUCCAUCAAGAUAGAAUCUAACUAAUUCAGAGGAAACUGCUGCGAGUGAAUAUCCAGGAUGUCUCCAAAACAAAUGUUGGCUUUGGGAGGACUCUGCCCCUGUCCCAGAGGUCUGAUAUCAACAGGCAUUUUGGAAAAGCCCCGUCACCCUGACAUCACAGUUUCACUCCAGCAAAGGAGAUCCUAACCCCGGGGCUGUUGAAAGAAGAGGAUCUACAGGGACGAGUUUCACAUUUCUGUCUCUUGGGUUCUCCGGGGCCCACUUGACUGCUCAGACAUGGACGACCAGAUAGGUACAGCCCUAAAAAGCAAAAAAAAAAGUCUAGACGAAUGGAUGCAAAAAAAAUGGAAUACCUGCGGUGACUGACAGAAAAAAUGAUCUGACUCCUGAAAAAGAAGAGACAGUUUCUCAUCCCUUCCACCAAUACCACCAGAAAUGGCCCCAAGAGACAUUUGCAUUCCUGAUGCCCUCACUGUGGCAGAAGAGGUCAGGGUACUCUGAUUGACCAGGCUGGAGUCAUAUGACUGCUGGGUACCUGGAGGCAAGACAGAAGUUCUUCCAGGAAAAAGCAGGUGGCAGUUCCCAAAGGAAAUGGGGAGAGCUGGCGCUGCUGUCCUAGGAGACUCAGUGAACUUUUACUCGUGAUUUUUCUUCCGAUUGCUAUCGUGGAAAGAGGCUCUUUCCUGAUACUGAAUGCUUUGUUUGAAACUGGUCCUUUCUUUACCAUCUAGGGGAAUUUUCCAAACCAAAGCAUUCAUCCUAGACCGAUGGCCAGUGGAUCACAUUUAGCAAGGUUUCUUACAGGUUUAUCUUCAGAAUCCUGUAGAGAGCCAAAAACAACCAUUUUAAGGUAAAAUAGUAUAUAAUUUGGGAAAAUAUGCCCAUUUGUGAUGCAGAGCUAGUGAAGUAUAAAAAUAAAGCCAAUUUAGAGCCCUUGUUACAAUCCUUAAAGUAAUUCCCCUUUUAAGCAAAACAAUAAUAUUUUAUAUUUACAAACAUUGCCCUUCUGGUUCUUACAAUCACCUGGAAAAUGAGUAUAACACAAUUUGGUCAUAUUGUACUCAUUUUACAGUUGAAAAAAAAUUGAAAUGCAGAGAGGUUAAGAGGUUUUUCUCCAAAUAAUUUAGCUAAUGAGUGACAAAGCCAGGACUAGAUUCUAAAUUUCUGUAUUUUCUGGUUCCAAGUGUGGUAGAUUUUCUCUUGCUUCUGUCUUUUGACUGUGACCCAAAUGAUGUUAAAUAUCCAAACCUUUGCUUGGGUACUCUGAUAUGUUCCCUCUCCACAUCCCACCCCACCCCCUCGCCAUCAAACAUCUCAGCUCUGACCCUCUCUACCUGGAGACAGCAUCAGAUCCCACAAAGCUGUCCUACAAGGCUUCCCCUCCCCCCACCUCAGAGGCCAAUCAAAAGUCCAGGUUGUCAUCUGUGCUAUCGCUUGGAGGUUUCAAUGACCCCCCUCCUCGGGUUCAACUAAUUUGCUAGAGCAGCUCACAGAACUCAGAGAAAUAUUUCACUUACAAAAUUGCUGAUAUAUUAUAAAAGGAUGUACCUCUGGAAUAGCCCAAUGGGAGAUAGGCAUAGGGCAAAGUAUCAGGAAGGAGGAAGGAGCUUCCAGCUUCUCCAAGGGUGUCAGUCUCCCCAAGUCUCCAAGUUUUCACCAACCUGGAAGCUCUCCAAAUCCCAUCCUUCUGGGAAGCAUGGUUGAUUAAAUCAUUGACCACUGGUGAUCAAACUCAAUCUCCAGCCCCCUCCCUUCCUAGGCUGGAGGAUGGGACUAAAAGUUCCAACCCUCUAAUCACUAGGUUGUUUCCCUUGGCAACCAACCCUCAUCCUUUGGUUACCUAGGGGCUUUCCAAAAGUCACCUCACUAAUGUCACAAAAGACAGUUUUAUUGCUUUUAUUACUUAGGAAAUUCCAAGGGUUCUAGGAGCUCUGUGCCAUGUAUGGCGGAUGAAAACCAAAUAUGUAUUUCUUGUUAUAAAUUAUAAUCUCACAGGUAGUCUUUCCUUUACUUCACAGACUGUUUGAACAUGUGCAAUACACCUAAUCUGGUGUGAGAACUGAAAUAGAAUGUUGUUUCCAAGACCACUUUCUAUGUACUAAGAGAUCAUCUAAGGCCAAAUACACAGAAUUACCUAAGGAAAGCUGGGAAGUCAGGACCCAGAAUUCUUAUUGGAACAGCAUAUGUCUCUCAGUAUUUCACCCUAGUUCCACCAGUGUCAUUGCUCUGCUAUGUCUACAGUUGGGUAAGCAGUCAAUCUGUCAGGGAUAUUUGGUAGGUCCUAAUGCAGAGAUGGAAAACCAGUAUCAUGAUUAAAAAACAAAAUUCAAUAAACUAAAUUUUCCAGAAUUUUAUUGACUUUAUUCAAUGAUUCAUAAAUGGGGCAGCAUCCAUUCUAGCAGAUAGAAAGAAGCUCCGAGGAGCUGUGCAAAAUGAAAGACUUUCACAGGCUGAAGAGGGAAAUACAAGGAAGUCACACUAGGCAAAAAAGCAGGUUGGUUAUUGCAAAGUUACUUACCUUUAGGGGAUGGCAGUGUUGGCCUGGUGAUUCCUGAUGGGCUGAUUUAAGAUUUCAUUUCUGGGAGAGCUGCUAUAAUUAAAUUAUCUUGCUUUGGUGGCAUGGAACUUAACACAAAUGACUCCAUUUUGGUCCUGUUGUCUUGGGGUUUUUUUGGGGAGGUUGUUUGUUUUGGGUUUUUGUUGUUGUUGCUGUUGUUUUUGUCU